UAAGUAGAACAAAUGAUCGCGGCUGCAUAAAAGGAAGUGUCAUUCCUUUGCGGCUGAGGAAAGUCCGGGCUUCACAGGGCAGGAUGCCGGAUAACGUCCGGUGGAGGCGACUCCAAGGCAAGUGCAACAGAAAUAAACCGCCGGAGUUUAAGCGAAGCUUAAACUCCUGGUAAGGGUGGAAAGGCAGUUUAAGAGACUACCGCCGGUAUGGUAACAUACCGGGCACAUGUAAACCCCAUCCGAAGCAAAACCGAACAGAAAGCAAUGAAGCGGCCCGCUUGGCUUUCGGGUAGGUUGCUUGAUUUCAUUGGCAACAAUGAAACUAGAUAGAUGAUUAUUGAAAACAUAACCCGGCUUAUCAUUUUGCUCAACCA
rnacentral:RNase_P_RNA from 1 species